CCUACGGGGGGCAGCAGUGGGGAAUAUUGGACAAUGGGGGCAACCCUGAUCCAGCCAUGCCGCGUGUGUGAAGAAGGCCCUCGGGUUGUAAAGCACUUUCAGUGAGGAAGAACGCCUGGUGGUUAAUACCCAUCAGGAAAGACAUCACUCACAGAAGAAGCACCGGCUAACUCCGUGCCAGCAGCCGCGGUAAUACGGAGGGUGCGAGCGUUAAUCGGAAUUACUGGGCGUAAAGCGCGCGUAGGUGGCUUGAUAAGCCGGUUGUGAAAGCCCCGGGCUCAACCUGGGAACGGCAUCCGGAACUGUCAAGCUAGAGUGCAGGAGAGGAAGGUAGAAUUCCCGGUGUAGCGGUGAAAUGCGUAGAGAUCGGGAGGAAUACCAGUGGCGAAGGCGGCCUUCUGGACUGACACUGACACUGAGGUGCGAAAGCGUGGGUAGCAAACAGGAUUAGUACCCUGGUAGUC
rnacentral:rRNA from 1 species